GCCUUCGAGGUGUAACGGUAGCACACGUGGCGCAUAUUCGAGAUGUCCAGGUUCGAGUCCCGGCGAUGGCA
rnacentral:tRNA from 1 species